CGAAGACCGGAACACCGCGACGACGACGCGACGGCGGCCCAAAUUCCAAAAUUCCGGUGGCGUCGACAGACACUCGGGCCAGGACUACAAGCCUCGCAAGCCUACAGCAAAAGCUGGCCUUGGGCCGACUUGCUUCACGGGCUGAGCUACUGAAACUUCUUGGGCUUUAAGAUGGGCUGAACCUGAGCAAAUAACAACUUGCUGGACUGAGGAAAGUUGCUGGGCUUGUCUUCAGAUGGGUCAAAUGUGCAGGCUUCGCUGGGCUUCACUAGCUUCUUGGGCUGAAGGAGAUGGGCUGCUCUUUCUCUUGGGCUUGCUGGGCCGUGAAGCUACUGGAAUUGCUGGCCCAAACCGUGGGCUGCUCCUUGGCGGCUGCUGCACAGGUGGCUUCACGGUCAACAACACCAGAAAUCGGCUUCGGUAGAAGGAGACCAGCUUGGGUCUUCGUUGGUGAAAAAAUGACCGAGCGUGCGAUGGGAGGAAACAGAUCACGGGGCUGUAGUAUUUGGUGGAGCUGCAGUUGACCAAGGACGUGGCAGCUCGUGGAUGCUGCUUCGUGGCUUGACUCGGCUGACUCGGUGGCCGACAAACUCGGUGGAGAAGGGGCACAAACGCUUGUUGGGUUGAUGGGCAGUAGAUGCACGGCAGCUAGCACACGGUCUUCCUCUUCGCUGAACGUUGACUGGAGAUGAGGAGGAACGGACGAGUGGCGUGGCUGCUUCGUGGGAUGCUUGGACGGCAAAGCUGGCGUGCGGCCAUGGAGAUGCUGGGGACGCGCGGCAGAAGAAAUGGAGAAGCACGUGGGAAGCUGAAGCUUGUUCGGUGGAGAUGGGCAAUUAAUGGAGGAGCAGAUGGUUGGCAGUAGCUUCGGUGGGGUUUUACGAGUCAACUCCAAGCUUUCGGUGAAAUUGUGGUUGACCGAAAGAUGAAGGAGACAGCGAAUGGUGGAGCGACCAAAUGGAGAAGCAGCUGCUGGCGUCGACCGGUGGCUUCGCUGGCUUCGGUUCACGGUUGAAUUGUCGAGCUUCAAAUAAAAAUGAAAGAAGAGGCAGAGCCGAGGAGGGGUAGUCUUCAAUGACUUCUUCGUUUCUCUUCAGCUAUGGCGUCGCAUGAAAUGGGGAGAAUGAAGGAGGAAUAAUUUACGACAACUAGAGAGAGAGGAUGAGGGAGAGGUAGAUGGAUAGAGAUGAGAGGUGAGGGGGCUCCACUUGACUUAAU
rnacentral:lncRNA from 1 species